rnacentral:rRNA from 1 species
UACGUAGGGGGCGAGCGUUGUCCGGAUUUAUUGGGCGUAAAGAGCGUGUAGGCGGCCAUGUAGGUCCGUUGUGAAAACUCGAGGCUCAACCUCGAGACGCCGAUGGAAACCAUGUGGCUAGAGUCCGGAAGAGGAGAGUGGAAUUCCUGGUGUAGCGGUGAAAUGCGCAGAUAUCAGGAAGAACACCCGUGGCUAAGGCGGCUCCCUAGUACGGUACUGACGCUGAGACGCGAAAGCGUGGGGAGCAAACAGG